rnacentral:rRNA from 1 species
AACGAACGCUGGCGGCAGGCUUAACACAUGCAAGUCGAACGGGCGUAGCAAUACGUCAGUGGCGGACGGGUGAGUAACACGUGGGAAUGUGCCUUUCGGUUCGGGAUAACUCAGGGAAACUUGAGCUAAUACCGGAUACGUCCGAGAGGAGAAAGAUUUAUCGCCGAGGGAUCGGCCCGCGUCUGAUUAGCUUGUUGGUGAGGUAACGGCUCACCAAGGCGACGAUCAGUAGCNGGUCUGAGAGGAUGAUCAGCCACAUUGGGACUGAGACACGGCCCAAACUCCUACGGGAGGCAGCAGUGGGGAAUAUUGCACAAUGGGCGCAAGCCUGAUGAUGCCACGCCGCGUGCGGGAUGAAGGCCCUCUGGGUUGUAAACCGCUGUCAAGGAGGGGGAACGGCAUGGUGUGAACAGCGCCAUGUUUG